AUGAUGGACUAUAGGACAGGACUGCUGCUUUUAACUGUCUGCUGGGCAGGUGUUGAUGGUCAGACUCUGACAGAAUCUGAACCAGCUGUUAAAAGGCCUGGAGAAUCCCACAGAUUGACCUGUACAACCUCUGGAUUCACAUUCAGUGACUACAGCAUGCAUUGGAUCAGACAGGCUCCUGGAAAAGGACUGGAGUGGAUUGCUUAUAUCAGUAGCGGUGGUAGCAGCAAAUACUACUCUCAGUCAGUUCAAGGCCGGUUUACCAUCUCCAGAGACAACAGCAGACAGCAGGUGUAUCUGCAGAUGAACAGUCUGAAGACUGAAGACUCUGCUGUUUAUUAUUGUGCUCGACACUCACAGUGACUGGAGUUGGUUGAACAGCUGUUCAAAAACCUACAGUACUCAUAUUUCAGGCUGAUAGAGACGUGCAUGCGUGCAUGCAUGCAAGCAUGACGUUUCUUAACAUUCAUAUUAUAUGAUUAGUUCUAUAUACUAUUGUUUAUAUUUCACGUUACAUAUUUUUGUGAAUAAUGCAUUAUACAAAGUCCUGAAGAGUGUUUCUGAAAUAUAUUGCAGAGAGGAGGAGUCAAUUAAUACACUGUCUGUGAGGUAGACCAUAUAAUUUCAUUUGUAUGAUUCAUUCACUUGUCAUAUAAUAUAAAAAUAAAAAUAAGAAAGU